rnacentral:rRNA from 1 species
UACGUAGGGGGCUAGCGUUGUCCGGAAUCAUUGGGCGUAAAGAGCGUGUAGGCGGCUCGGUAAGUCCGCUGUGAAAGUCCAGGGCUCAACCCUGGAAUGCCAGUGGAAACUGUCGAGCUAGAGUCCGGAAGAGGCGAGUGGAAUUCCUGGUGUAGCGGUGAAAUGCGCAGAUAUCAGGAGGAACACCGGUGGCGAAGGCGGGUCUCUGGGCCGAUAUUGACGCUGAGGAGCGAAAGCGUGGGGAGCAAACAGG